UACGUAGGGCGCAAGCGUUGUCCGGAAUUAUUGGGCGUAAAGAGCUCGUAGGCGGUUUGUCGCGUCUGCUGUGAAAACCUAAGGCUCAACCUUGGGCUUGCAGUGGGUACGGGCAGACUAGAGUGCGGUAGGGGUGACUGGAAUUCCUGGUGUAGCGGUGGAAUGCGCAGAUAUCGGGAGGAACACCGGUGGCGAAGGCGGGUCUCUGGGCCGAUACUGACGCUGAGGAGCGAAAGCGUGGGGAGCGAACAGG
rnacentral:rRNA from 1 species